rfam:Ixodes scapularis strain Wikel colony gcontig_1108378532894, whole genome shotgun sequence.
GCCUCGGUGGCUCCGAGGGGAGAGCGCCGGCCCACGGAUCCCGAUGUGGCGGGUUCGAAUCCCGGCCGAGGUG